rnacentral:lncRNA from 1 species
UUGGGUCAUACUUGUUAACAUUACACCUAAAGAAAAAUAUUAUUUGCUAUUUUUUUCGUCUGUCAGCAGAUGGAACAAAACAAAAAAAUUUAGCAAGGUUUUUUCAUCAACAUGGCCAAUUUGUUGAAGAACCUGAAGUAAUUUCCAUUACAGACCAACCUAUGCUCAACCUGGCUUAUUAAUGGUAGAGUUGGAAAUAGCAAUAAACAAGGUGCUUUGGGCAUAAGCAAGAUCAUAUUCGCACAUAAUUCACAAGUAAGGGGGUAUUCAUGGACUCAAACACAAGGCUAUCAAGGUCAUGGACCUUGAUGAAGCUCAAGAAAUGAAAAGGAAGUGUAGCUGACUAGAAGUAGAUUCAACUUAGAAUUCUAUCUAGUUCAUUUCAAGUUAAAGUAAUGCUUGUUGGCAAUUGUUAAUUGUUCAGUUUUAGAAAGGGCAAAGAUGGGCAAUAAAAGGCUCAAUUUAACAUAGUCACUUUUAAUAUCCAACAGCAACAAUCCAAAUAACUUGAAAAUGAAUAAACGUUAACCAUCUCAAAAACAUAAUAAAUUAAAUAAGGGAAAGGGUUUCCAAUACUGCAAAUCCAAACAUAAAAAAUCCGAUGAAAACAUGAAAAUUGUAAUAAAUCCAAUCAACAGUUGCCAUAAAUCUAAUUCUACAUUCAUGGAAAUGCACGCCAAGUAUUCCCAUAUUGAUCUCAGCGAGGAGUCUCCCUAUUGUCGAGGCCAUUGUCUGCUUACCCAUAUUACGACUACUAAGUCCAUGGAACUAAAGGCAAGACAGGUAAGCCACUAGCUUAUUUCUAAAUUUCGAUAAAAUCAAGUCUAGCUAGAUCUUGAUUUAGAAAAAAAAAACAUCAAAUACCAAAUAUAGCAACCAAAAGUUGGAAUCUUGAGAAGAAAACCCCAUGUAGCAAAAACCUAGUAUAAUGCUCAACUAAAUAGUCGGUCACCGCAAAGUUUCAAACAGAGACGGAGGAACACAUAUUACAAGACGAAGCAGAAGCCACAGGGGGUUUUGCUGUUUUUAUCCAGCCCCAUGAUGAUCUUCUUGAUCUCUCCGGCGCGAGAGAAGAGCUCGUACAUCUGCUCCUCAGUGGUGUAGAAUGACAUGUUGCCGACGUAGACCGUCGUCGAGGUCUGCAGCGCGCCCUCAUACUCCUCCUGGUUGCCCGGAAACCUCCUGUCCCGGUACGCCGAUAGCUUGGCGAGAUCCUGUCGACAAGCAAACGGGGAGGAAAUCAAUCAAACAACUCUGAAUCAAAAGGAAGAAAAGGCAGCGAGACAAAUUAUCGUCGAACUCGAAGUCCCAACGACCUUGAACAAAGAAGCCAUCUGCUAGGGUUACAGGAGCAUCAGAUCAAGAGUAGGAUUCCGGUCGGUCUACCGAUCAAGCUUGAAGAUGACAAAUGCGCGCGAGUUAGAAAGAGAGAGAAUCUAGGGUUUUAAAGAGGGAAAACUUGGAAGCGAGCAUAAAAGGGGCGAAGCUUAACUGUAGGAGCGUAAAGGACGAAGGGAGGAGCGAACACAGCACAGAGAGAGAGAGAGAGAGAGAGAGAGAGAGAGAGACCCCAACCCCAAAUGCAUACAACUAGUAGACUACUUUGAUAUUACAAAAAGAAAUUUAAUAAAAUAUUAAAUUAUCAAAAACAAAAAAUAUAAGAUCAUCUUCAAGAGUUCCACAAAUGUCCUACUAAGUUCAUGGGGAGGACAAAAAUAAAUAAAUAUCAUGAUAAAUAAUAAUUUAGAAAAAAAAUAUAGUAAAUAUAAAGAGAUAUAUGGGAGUUUUGGUUAUUGGGAGAAAAAUUGAAGAUAAUAGUAUGAUUUUAGAUUUUAUAACUUUGUAUGAUCUUAUAAUUAUUAAUAUAAAAAUUAAUAUUUAAUUAUUCAUAAGAGUGAUCAUAAUUAUAAUCAAAUAAAUUGUUUUCACUAAAAUGAUAUAGAAAGUUAUUUGUAUGAAUUAUAAAAUGAAAUAAUAUUAGAUAUUUAUUAUAAAAAUUAAAAAAAAUUAUUAGAACUAGAUGAUCGAAUUUUAAAAAUAGUAAUGUAAAUACUUUUAAGAAUAAGAUUAAAACCGAUGUUAAUUGAAACUUAGAAGAUGAUAAUAUUAAUAUUGUUUGGACUAACAACGGUUAAUAAGAUUAAAAGCUAACGAAAAAAGAUUUUAUAUAAAUUAAGGAUAGAGGUGUAAUCUUAAGAAUGAGUUAGUGGUAGUGUGAAGAAGUUUAAAAAAUAAUUAUUACUAAAAAUAUCAUAUUUUAAAGAUUGAUAAAAUUUAAAAAAUAGAAAAAAAAUUAAAAAGAUAUAAAUAAUCUAAAAAAGGCUAAAAAUGAUUAAUAUGAUAAAAUAUAAAGCUUAUGAUAAAUUUUAUAAUAAAUUAAAUACUAAAGAUGAUGAAAAAGAUAUAUAUCGAAUUACUAAGGGUGGAAAAAAAAAGUGUAAGGAUUUAGGUAAUAUUAAAUGUAUUAAAGAUGAAGAUCAAACAAUAUUAAUAAAUGAUAACGGGACUAAGAAAAGAUAAAAAUUAUUAUGAAUUAUUUAAUAAAUAUUUCACAUAGUAAAAGAAUAAUGUAUCUAUUAAUUAUAUUAAUAUUAUUAAAAAUAUAUAUAUUAAUGCAGCGACCAAUGUUAGAAUUAUAAGAAGUGUGUUUAGUGAGUUUCCUAUUAGUAUAAGAUUACACUAAAGAAUCGCAUUAAAUUUCUAUGUUUGGAAUUAAUUAUAAACAUGAGUUACGGAGGUAAAUCUUAGAAACUAAAGAUUUUAGAUUAAAUAAGACUAAAAUUAAAUACAUAAAAUAUAAUUAUAAUGAAUUUAAAAAUAAAAAGAGAAUAUAAUUUAAAUUGAAUAAACAAGAAACCCCUUUAAAUAAAAACUUUAGAUAUUUUUGAUUAAUUAUUUAAUAAAAUAAAAAAAUCGAUAAAUAUAUUACUUAUUGAGUGUAAAUAAGAUAUUUAAAAUGUGGAGGGAAACCGAGAGUCUUGAGUGAUUAUCAACUAUCUUUAAGAUUAAAAGUAAAAUUUUAUAAAGUAAUUAUAAGAUCAAUAAUAUUUUAUGGAUUUAAGUGUUAAGCAGUUAAGAAAAAAAUAUAUAAAAAAAUUAUGUUAUCAAGAUGAGAAUAUUGAGAUAAAUAUGUGGAGUUACUAUAAAAAAUAAGAAAAAAAAUACUUUUAUUUAUGGAUAAUUAUGUAUCAUUUUGAUAGAAGAUAAAAUGAGAGAAAAAUUAUUUAAAAUGAUAUGAAUAUAUGUUAAUAAAUAAGACCUUCGGAUGUGAUAAAAAAAAAAAAAAUAUUAGCGGUAUGAAAAAGGUAGAAAAAAACCUA